AUGUGUGCACCCAAGAGAGAUGGGGGUUUAGGGUUUAGAGACCCUCAAGCAUUCAACCAAGCUCUUCUUGCCAAGCAGGCCUUGCGGAUCCUCUCUUCUCCGUCAUCUCUGGUUGCUAGAGUUCUCAAGGCAAGGUACUUUCAAGAUAGCUCCAUCCUUGCAUCUACCUACCCCUCAAAUGCUUCAUACACUUUCCGAAGCAUCCUGCAUGGAAGAGAUCUGCUACGGGAAGGUUUAGUUUGGAGAAUUGGUGACGGCUCCCGGGUCAACAUUCACCAUGAAAACUGGAUUCCAAGGAAUGGAUACAUGCGGCCACUAGGUCAGCAGUAUCUCCAGGGGGUCAUGAAGGUUGUUGACUUGUUAAACUCGGAUGGAACGGCCUGGAAUGUUGAGAGAGUUGAUGAGAUGUUCUCUGCCUCGGAUGCCUCUGAUAUUAAGAAAAUCACGGUGGGAGGGCCAGGCACUGAGGAUACCCUUGCCUGGAACUUCACAAAAAUGGCAUUUUCAGCGUCCGCUCGGCCUUUCACUUAA
rnacentral:rRNA from 1 species